rnacentral:tRNA from 1 species
GGUGGCUCAGUAGUAGAGCACUUGCCUUGCAUGCAUGAGGCGCUGGGUUCGAUUCCUCAGCACCA